UCUUAUUCUCUCCUCCCGCAAUCAUAAACCACCAGACCAGUAGCAUCUGUAAAGUGCGCGGCCUUCCUCCACCCAUCACUCUCUCGUAACCUCAAUGAAAUAGUGGCGCGUUCGAUGAGGGUAUCCUCCUGCGUCUGUGGUACACAAAAC
ensembl:ncRNA T19F4.5 ncRNA